CCAAUGGAUGUUGACAAAGAAGAGUUAGGGUUAACAGCAUGGCUGAAAGUUUAUAUAGACUACAAAAUAUUCAAACACAGAUUGGGGAAAAUGGAGAAAUAAAAACAAAACAUCAACAGCAAACCAGUAAUUAGGCUGGUGCCUCAACCAUGGCCACUGAAUUGCAUACAUGCUGAGGACCAGCCACUGGGAUUCUGGAACAUUCAUUAUCUUCAUACUCUGAGGAAUGACCCAAACUUUAAUUACUUUUGGAUUAGGAAGUCUUUUUUUUUUCCUCUGAAUAUGUCCUUUCAUAAUUGCCUUUUUCAGGAUUUCUUUUGUGUUCCUGGACCAACCAGGCCACCAGUUUACUUCUGUGCUAUGCUGAAGCAGAAGGUCUGUGUGUUCAAAAUGGAACUUGAGCAUCUUUAGUAGUGUAGUGUGAUAAUUACAGUGUCACCAUGAUGCUCCUGAAAUAGGAUUUAACAUUCUGCAAACUCUCAUGGCAGCUUUCAUAGGACCAGAUGCUUCAGCUCAAUCUGUGUUGACUCAGCUCAAGUGAAAACUGCUUGAAGUUUUUGCAGUUGAGGAAGAAGUUGCUGUAUCCAGG
rnacentral:lncRNA from 1 species